ensembl:lncRNA
AUGCGUCCGUCCCCGCGCCGGCGGGCGGCCGCCUGGCUGCUGGCGCUGCCGUCGGGGCGCGGCGGGGAGGAGUGCGCGCGGCGCGGCCGCCUGGAGAUGAUCUCGUUCUGGCUGCUGUGCUGGAAGCUGCUGGCUCCCGUGGAUCUCUGUGUCCAAGAAGAGGCCCACAGUGGAAACGUCUCCACUGAGCAUGUGGACUUUCUGUUGGCCCGACAGCAGUGGAGGAAGAUGGAGGAGGAGGUCAAAGGUCAGCCAAUCCCCAAACCAGGCCUCAGAGCUCAGGGGAGCUUCCAGGGCACCCACAGCUCCCUGUACCCGCCCACUCGCAGCCCCCGACUCAAACACAGGGAGAUCCAUCCUGCAGCGGCCAUGGAGCCCACGCUGUCCUCCACCCUGUCCUCCACCCUGUCCCCCGGCUCGGAGGACUCGGGCCUGGAGGAGCCGGAGAGUGCAGUGGAGAGAGAGAUCCGCCGGACUCUGGAGAGGGAGGAAUGCCACCGGAGAGAGAGGGGGGGGGUCACACAGGGCCUCACCGUACCCAGAGCCUCCACCGGGCAGAGCGGACGAUCUCCCCCCAGACCUCCAGCGUGCCGCACCCCUACACUGUCCAUCUCCCCUUCUCCUUCCUCUUCCCUUCCCCGAUCUGUCUACCAUGAGAUGACGGCCAAUAAUGUCAUUAUCCUGGAGCCCGGCUGCUCCGGCUCCACCUCCAGAAACCUCUUACUCUCCUCCGCCACCGAUUGGCCGCUUAGCCAGGAUGCUGUGCCCUCCGCCAACGUCAUCGUCGUUGAGACCUCUAACGUGAUCAUUCGCAGCGCAUCCGAAUUCUGUCUAAGCUCCGCCCCCGUGUCCGCGGAGACCCAGGAGAGCACCUUCUCGUCCAAUCCGUUCUUUAAGCUACGCUCAAUCAGCAGCCAAUCGCUGGUGGAGCGGGAGAUCCGCAUGGUGAGGCAGAGGGAGGAGGAAUGGAGGAGGCAGCGGGAGGAGAUGUGGAGGAGGAGGAGGGAGGAGGAGUGGAGGAGAGGGAGAGAGAGGUACGACACCGUGCUGGUGUCUCCUGGCCUGAGCGAUAACAUCAGCUACAACGUGCCAGAGGUCCUAGAUAGAUGUGUGUCCUCUCCUUCGUCCCCCUCCAGGACCCGCAAAAUGGAAAGAUCCAGCAUGUCUUGUGACCACAAGUUCCCCUCAUCCCUCUCUCUGACGCCGAAGCGACCGAACGCCAUGGCGCAGCGAUGGGAGGCCUCCCUAUUAGCCAAUCAGAAGAAGGAGUGA